rnacentral:tRNA from 1 species
GGAAAGUUGUCUGAGUGGUUUAAGGUCUCGGUCUUGAAAACCGAUGAACGUUUAUAGCGUUCCGUGGGUUCGAAUCCCACACUUUCCUC